AGAGCGAACGCUGGCGGCAGGCCUAAUACAUGCAAGUCGAACGGACCCUUCGGGGUUAGUGGCGGACGGGUGAGUAACACGUGGGAACGUGCCCUUUGGUUCGGAACAACUCAGGGAAACUUGAGCUAAUACCGAAUGUGCCCCCUCCUUUGAUUAGGGGGGUGGGAAAGAUUUAUCGCCAUUGGAGCGGCCCGCGUCUGAUUAGCUAGUUGGUGGGGUAAAGGCCCACCAAGGCUACGAUCAGUAGCUGGUCUGAGAGGAUGAUCAGCCACACUGGGACUGAGACACGGCCCAGACUCCUACGGGAGGCAGCAGUGGGGAAUUUGCGCAAUGGGGGAAACCCUGACGCAGCAACGCCGCGUGGAGGAUGAAGCCCCUUGGGGCGUAAACUCCUUUCGAUCGGGAAGAUAAUGACGGUACCGGAAGAAGAAGCCCCGGCUAACUUCGCGCCAGCAGCCGC
rnacentral:rRNA from 1 species